AAGUCGUAACAAGGUUUCCGUAGGUGAACCUGCGGAAGGAUCAUUAACAGAUUCUGCUAACCAGAUAUCUUACCCCGUGUGAACUGUUCUUUCGACUUGGUGCCCAAGACUCGAGGCUCUCCGAGAGGGGCUGCUGGAGGCCUUAAAAAGCCGACGCGUCUCUCAAGGGUGUCUCGCCUCUAAGCACCAUCAUUUUUUACCCUUUAACUUUGAAUGCCGAGAAACUUACAAAAGACUAGAAAACUUUUAGCAACGGAUCUCUAGGCUCUU
rnacentral:misc_RNA from 1 species